rnacentral:rRNA from 1 species
UGGCGGCGUGCUAUACAUGCAAGUCGAGCGAAUCUGAGGGAGCUUGCUCCCAACGAUUAGCGGCGGACGGGUGAGUAACACGUGGGUAACCUGCCUGUAAGAUUGGGAUAACUCCGGGAAACCGGAGCUAAUACCGGAUAACAUUUCGAACCGCAUGGUUCGAAAUUGAAAGACGGCUUUUAGCUGUCACUUACAGAUGGACCCGCGGCGCAUUAGCUAGUUGGUGAGGUAACGGCUCACCAAGGCAACGAUGCGUAGCCGACCUGAGAGGGUGAUCGGCCACACUGGGACUGAGACACGGCCCAAACUCCUACGGGAGGCAGCAGUAGGGAAUCUUCCGCAAUGGACGAAAGUCUGACGGAGCAACGCCGCGUGAACGAUGAAGGCCUUCGGGUCGUAAAGUUCUGUUGUUAGGGAAGAACAAGUACCAGAGUAACUGCUGGUACCUUGACGGUACCUAACCAGAAAGCCACGGCUAACUACGUGCCAGCAGCCGCGGUAAUACGUAGGUGGCAAGCGUUGUCCGGAAUUAUUGGGCGUAAAGCGCGCGCAGGCGGUUUCUUAAGUCUGAUGUGAAAGCCCACGGCUCAACCGUGGAGGGUCAUUGGAAACUGGGGAACUUGAGUGCAGAAGAGGAGAGU